AUUGAACGCUGGCGGCAGGCCUAACACAUGCAAGUCGAACGAGUGGCGGACGGGUGAGUAAUGUCUGGGAAACUGCCCGAUGGAGGGGGCUAACUACUGUAAACAGUAGCAAAUAGAGCAUACCAUCGGAUGUGCCCAGCUGGGAUUAUCUAGUAGGUGGGGUAACGGCUCACCUAGACGACGAUCCCUAGCGGGUCUGAGAGGAUGACCAGCCAAACUGGAACUGAGACACGGUCCAGACUCCUACGGGAGGCAGCAGUGGGGAAUAUUGCACAAUGGGCGCAAGCCUGAUGCAGCCAUGCCGCGUGUAUGAAGAAGGCCUUCGGGUUGUAAAGUACUUUCAGCGAGGAGGCGUUACCCGCAGAAGAAGCACCGGCUAACUCCGUGCCAGCAGCCGCGGUAAUUC
rnacentral:rRNA from 1 species